CCCGGUGGUCAUAGCGAGCGGGAACCACCCGAACCCAUCUCGAACUCGGAAGUGAAAACGCUCAGCGCCGAUGAUAGUGUGGGGUUUCCCCAUGUGAAAGUAGGACACUGCCGGGG
rnacentral:rRNA from 1 species